GAAAUAUGAAAGACCAAAAAAAAAGCUGCUAACUUUUUUUUAACAGUUUAAUUCUGUUUAUAUUUCU
rnacentral:tRNA from 1 species